GAGGGGCAUCGGGGCUAGGAGCAAUCCUUGCCGCCGGCGACCGGCGCACGGGUGAGUAACGCGUAUGCGACCUGCCCGUUGCAGGGGGAUAAUCGGGAGAAAUCCCGUCUAAUACCGCGUAAUGCCGCGGGGCUGCAUGGCCCUGCGGCCAAAGGGAGCGAUUCCGGCAACGGAUGGGCAUGCGUGACAUUAGCUAGUUGGCGGGGCAACGGCCCACCAAGGCGACGAUGUCUAGGGGUUCUGAGAGGAAGGUCCCCCACACUGGUACUGAGACACGGACCAGACUCCUACGGGAGGCAGCAGUGAGGAAUAUUGGUCAAUGGGCGCGAGCCUGAACCAGCCAAGUCGCGUGAGGGAUGACGGCCCUACGGGUUGUAAACCUCUUUUGUCGGGGAGCAAAUUCCGUUACGUGUAACGGAGUCGAGAGUACCCGAAGAAAAAGCAUCGGCUAACUCCGUGCCAGCAGCCGCGGUAAUACGGAGGAUGCGAGCGUUAUCCGGAUUUAUUGGGUUUAAAGGGUGCGUAGGCGGACUGUCAAGUCAGCGGUAAAAUACGGGGGCUCAACCUCCGCCCGCCGUUGAAACUGACGGUCUUGAGUGGGCGAGAAGUAUGCGGAAUGCGUGGUGUAGCGGUGAAAUGCAUAGAUAUCACGCAGAACUCCGAUUGCGAAGGCAGCAUACCGGCGCCCAACUGACGCUGAAGCACGAAAGCGUGGGUAUCGAACAGGAUUAGAUACCCUGGUAGUCCACGCAGUAAACGAUGAAUACUAGCUGUCCGGGGCGAAUGAGCCCUGGGUGGCACAGCGAAAGCGUUAAGUAUUCCACCUGGGGAGUACGCCGGCAACGGUGAAACUCAAAGGAAUUGACGGGGGCCCGCACAAGCGGAGGAACAUGUGGUUUAAUUCGAUGAUACGCGAGGAACCUUACCCGGGCUCAAACGACACAGGAACGUACCUGAAAGGGUUCGGCUCUACGGAGCCUGUGUCGAGGUGCUGCAUGGUUGUCGUCAGCUCGUGCCGUGAGGUGUCGGCUUGAGUGCCAUAACGAGCGCAACCCCCAUCGACAGUUGCUAACAGGUCAGGCUGAGGACUCUGUCGAGACUGCCGGCGCAAGCUGCGAGGAAGGCGGGGAUGACGUCAAAUCAGCACGGCCCUUACGUCCGGGGCGACACACGUGUUACAAUGACGCAGACAGAGGGAGGCGAGCCGGAGGCGGAGCAAACCACAGAAAUGGCGUCUCAGUUCGGGACUGCAGCUGCAACCCGGCUGCAGAAGCCGGAAUCGUAGUAAUCGCAGAUCAGCAUGCUGCGGUGAAUACGUUCCCGG
rnacentral:rRNA from 1 species